rnacentral:rRNA from 1 species
GAUGAACGCUAGCUACAGGCUUAACACAUGCAAGUCGAGCGGUUUGUGCUUUUGCACAUUCAGCGGCAGACGGGUGAGUAACACGUAUCUAACCUUCCCCUUACUUGGGCAUAGCCUCUGGAAACGGAGAUUAAUUUCCGAUGUGGUGUACAUUUCGCAUGUUUUGCGCACCAAAGAUUUAUCGGUAAGGGAUGGGGAUGCGCUCCAUUAGGUAGUAGGUAGGGUAAUGGCCUACCUAGCCUAUGAUGGAUAGGGGUUCUGAGAGGAAGGUCCCCCACAUUGGAACUGCGACACGGUCCAAACUCCUACGGGAGGCAGCAGUGAGGAAUAUUGGUCAAUGGCCGGAAGGCUGAACCAGCCAAGUAGCGUGCAGGAAGACUGCCUUAUGGGUUGUAAACUGCUUUUUACGGGAAUUAAUUAUGAUCACGUGUGAUUAUUUGCAUGUACCGUAAGAAUAAGGAUCGGCUAACUCCGUGCCAGCAGCCGCGGUAAAGUGU